rnacentral:rRNA from 1 species
GAUGAACGCUAGCGGCAGGCCUAAUACAUGCAAGUCGAACGGUGUCUUCGGACAUAGUGGCGCACGGGUGCGUAACACGUAUGCAACCUACCUUACAUUGGGGGAUAGCCUUUCGAAAGGGAGAUUAAUACCGCAUAAGACAGUAGCUGGGCAUCCAGCAGCUGUUAAAGAUUUAUCGAUGUAAGCUGGGCAUGCGUCCAAUUAGCUAGUUGGUGAGGUAACGGCUCACCAAGGCAAUGAUUGGUAGGGGAACUGAGAGGUCAAUCCCCCACACUGGCACUGAGAUACGGGCCAGACUCCUACGGGAGGCAGCAGUAGGGAAUAUUGGGCAAUGGACGCAAGUCUGACCCAGCCAUGCCGCGUGCAGGAUGAAGGCGUUAUGCGUUGUAAACUGCUUUUAUACAGGAAGAAACGACUCUUGCGAGAGGCAUUGACGGUACUGUAUGAGUAAGCACCGGCUAACUCUGUGCCAGCCGCCGCGGUAAUAC